AGUAAACCCUGUGAAGUCUCGCAGUUUUGUUAAAGUGUGCGUGGCCACCUGAAUGCUGCCUUAUCACAAGCCAGAUACAUACUGGUCUGUAGGGUAACUCCCCACUGUUGAUCCUCUGAGAUGAUUGUGGACUGGGUGCUGUGAGUCCUGCCACUUUGUUUAAGUGAAUGUGUCUUUUGUCCAGCUCAGCCGCCUCGGAUCUCGCUGCCACCAGCCUUACUGCACACCCGUGCCACCCGCCCUUGCCCCGUCAGCCUCAGCCUCAGCUCAUUCUCUCAGGCAGUCCCAGCAUUGGCACGGUACCUCCUCCCGCUGUGGGCCACACGUCUCUGCUCCCUGUCAACCCUCCUGCCAUCAGCACCACCACCAGCGACUUGUCUGCCCGGGAGGAUGCAACACCAUCUGCCUCCACCGGCCACCUUUCAGUGUUUCCUGCUUUCCAAGUAAAGAUACCAGCAGUGCCCUCAGAGCAGACCAGCCAGAGUUUUUCUGAAGCCUCCCACAGGGUGCUCCCCGGAGGAGGCCCGAGAUGCUCUCGUGACUUUGGAGCCGGGGUGGCUGGCCACCUUGGCCUGGGCAUCUUUGGGGUGGGCUUCGGGAGCCCGGCACUGCUGCAGAGUGUGGUGGAUGAGAACAGCUGCUGCUUGCUGUACGUGGUGGAGGACCAGCUGUGUGAUGUGGAGCAAGCCUUCAGAGCUGAGCAUUUGGGCCAACACCAGAGUGGUUCGGGAACAGGAUGCAGACAUUGUCCUCAACGACCAGCGGCACUUUGAUCCGGUUUUCCAGUUCUUGCACAAGCAAGUUUGUGUCAGCCACGCCCUGGGGAGGAUCCACUGGAUCACCGCCGUCACUGCCUGUUCCCGGCGGCCUCUCCGGCUUCCCUAAAGAGAGCAGUAGCUUCCCUCGAGACCAGAAGCCAGAGCUCACCCUCCCUUGUGUCCAGGUGGGACUUUCUACAACGCUGCUGUGCACGACGUGGAUGCCGUAUGCAUGUUGCUGGGGGAAGCCACUCCGGACACUGUGUUUUCUCUGGGACAUGUCUUCUGCCCAGAUAUGGCCGCCUUAAAAGAUGCAGAUGCUGUUGUGAUCAGCAUGAAGUUUCCCUGUGAGGCCGUGGUUAGCGUGGACAUCAGCCAGCACUGCACAGACAGCUGCGACCAGGACGUCAGCCAGCACUGCACAGACAGCUGCGACCAGAGACUGGAGGUGACCCUUGCCCUUUUCCACCCUUCGCCAGUCCACUGUGAAAAGCUGGGUUGAUUGUGCGGGUUAGAUAGAGGUCAUCAGCCGGGUUGAUUGUGUGGGUUAGACAGAGGUCAUCAGCCAGGUUGAUUGUGUGGGUUAGAUAGAGAUCAUCAGCCUGGUAGAUUGUGUGGGUUAGAUAGAGGUCAUCAGCCAGGUUGAUUGUGCGGGUUAGAUAGAGAUCAUCAGCCGGGUUGAUUCUACAGGUUAGAUAGAGGUCGUCAGCCGGGUUGAUUGUGCGGGUUAGAUAGAGAUCAUCAGCCGGGUUGAUUGUGCGGGUUAGAUAGAGGUCAUCAGCUGGGUUGAUUGUGUGGGUUAGAUAGAGAUCAUCAGCUGGGUUGAUUGUGUGGGUUAGAUAGAGGUCGUCAGCUGGGUUGAUUGUGCGGGUUAGAUAGAGGUCAUCAGCCGGGUUGAUUCUACAGGUUAGAUAGAGGUCGUCAGCCGGGUUGAUUCCGCAGGUUAGAUAGAGGUCGUUAGCUGGGUGUGUGGGUCCCAAGGCGUGCUGCAGAUGGAGAAUCAGAAUUCCUUGGGCAUCACCGGGCGGGGCAUGUCCCUGUCCCUUCGCUCCCAGACCCAGGCUAGCCGCUACCAGGACUCCUAUCGAGAGCUCUUCAGACACUUUGUCAGAACCCUUAAAGGUGGGUGACGUUUUCAGGAGGAACCUGGGAUGUCCUGAUGCUCAAUGGGUAGAUGCCUUCCAGGCUGCAGUCAGUGCAGAUGAUAUGCCAAUUUCAGGUGGAAAAUUGCAUUCCAGAUACCGGGUUCAGAUUUGAAAUUGUCCAUCUCAGUGAUCAUUUACGUUGCGUGUACUUGAGGGAGAUUCUGAGAGAUGCUCCUUUGGGGUUCUGUGCGUGUACCAUGUUGCCUGACACGUCCUGAGAAAUCUUCUUAAACUCUGAGUUUAUAAAAUAACUACUUCUGAACUCCUGAGAUCUAGUGGAUACCAUGUAUCCUGGAAGAUAGGACACUUUCUACCCUCUGUCAGUCCUGGGGGUGACUGGGAACCAGAGAGGUUGAGCAGAAUUCCUGGACCUGGGUGGGGCUUGUCCAAGAGGGGCAGGUGGGCCUCUCUAGGAUCAGUGUCCCACCCAGAGGCCAGUGGCCCCUUCACAUGCCCCAACAAGAGGAAGACUGUCUGGCUCCGCAGUGUUGGGUUUUGUCCUGAAUCUGUGCAAAUGUGCAGGGAAAUAACCUCCUGAAAUCACCAAAGAGCAGUUCCUCAGGGCCUUCCGGGUGACCGUGGCCGUGGAGCAGUCGUGGUGAAACCGGUCAGCUGUGGACCUGCCCUGCGAAUCGGCAGAGGCCUCCGUGGUGAAGACAGAAGCUCCGUGAACCAACUCGAGGCUGGAGCCAAGAUCCUGCCUGAUAUCCAGUUGCCUGUUUCACUUGUUACUGUUACUGGGAGAGGGAGACAAAACCUCAUGGCAAUCUUGUCCUCACUGGAGACUCAGAAGGGGAAGCAUUGGGAAACCAUGUAUGUUUCAUUUCUGGUUUAACCAGGCUUUUCAGGAUGGGACUUCAGACCAAGGACACAAGUUGGGCUUGCUUAGGUGUUUUGUGUUGUGCGCAGGCCUCAGAGAUGCUCUUCCGGUCAGAGUUCCCUUGGCAGGGCCUUGGAGGCCUCUGGUUGGCUCUCUCAGGAAGAGGGCAGGUCAGGGAUUGGGCGGUGUAAAUUGACUCAGAAACCUGCGGUUUCAGCUUUUCUGUGGCAAACAGGGCCGAGGGCUGGUGAAGCUGUUAAGGCUAAAUGUCGCAUGCAUGAGGCGGGCUGCAGGCCUCCUUAGGCCUUUUUUGGGGUAAUUACACCAGUAUUUAAAAACAUUUUUUUUUGUUUGUUUUGAGAUGGAGUCUUGCCCUGUCACCCAGGCUGGAGUGCAAUGGUGCGAUCUCGGCUCACUGCAACCUCCGUCUCCCAGGUUCAAGCGAUUCUUCUGCCUCAGCCUUCUGAGUAGCUGGGAUUACACGCGUGUGCCACCACGCUCGGCUAAUUUUUGUAUUUUUAGUAGAGAUGGGAUUUCACCAUGUUGGCCAGGCUGGUCUCGAACUACUGACCUCGUGAUCCACCUGCCAUGGCCUCCCAAAGUGCUGGGAUUACAGGCGUGAGCCACCAUGCUCGGCCUAAAAAACAAUUUUCUUGAAGAAUCCGAUUUUGUGCAUAGUAAUGACACAGCACCAUUCCUGAGAAAUAGGAAAUAUAUGUGUGUGGUAUGAAAAGCCCAUAUUCUGUUCUUGUCACCUGAAUCUAGGCUUCCUCUUUGGAUGUGAACGCGGGAAUGAACAGUGGCUGUUUUCCACCCAAAGGGGCGUGGAGACCUUUUGGAAACGGGCUUUCUCCUUUCCAUUUUGCAGCCGGGGGCGGGUGGAAACCUUCCUUCGAAGGGUAGUGCCUUGGGGAGCAGCAGACCUGCUCUGAGUCCAGCUUAGCUUUCCAAAAUUCUGUGUGGAACUUACUGGAGAUGUUUUUAUAUAUUUGAAAAUAAUGGCCUGUAUUUCUCACGCUAUACUUAAAAAAAAUAACUAACCUUUUAAACAAAGAUAUUCAAACUCACCCUUGUGCUGAAA
rnacentral:lncRNA from 1 species